UAUUUAUAUAGUUUAUUAAAACAUUACAUUUUCACUGUAAAAUUGGGAAUAAUCUCUAUAAAU
rnacentral:tRNA from 1 species